UUCCAUAGCAUGAGCUGAUUUCCCCUUCACCAGGUGAAAUCCAUGUGUUAUGUUUUUUAACAUUUUGCCUUUUCCUUUACCUCGGUCACCUCCUGAUGAUGUUCCGAACCCUGCUUUCACCUGCAAGAAAGUUUCAAUCUUUACAACCCAAUUGCUUAUAUGGGCAGAAAACUGCUAAAUUUGCAGAGACAGGAAAGGGAGACCACUUUUUCUAGUUCACAGGAAUCAGAAAUAUUUGAUCAUGCUUAAGCUUCACGAACGAAAAUGAAGACGACAACAGCUCAGACUAUGGAGUUCAGACAGGGAUAGAAAGGAAGAGAAGAUGACGGAGAAAUUAAGAGUGGACAUGUAAAAAUGGAACUUUGACUUUUAAGCACGUGAACUAGUUGAUAGUGUUAACUUCUCUUUAAUUUGUAUUAUUGUGGAGACCGAGUCGUUUUCAAACAGCGCAUACUCGUCUGCCGACGACGUCAAUCUUUUCUUACUAUUAUUCCACUUCCGCUCCAUUAUUAACAAA